GGUGCUUCUCAGUGCCACAGUCGUGUUUUGUAGUCCCUGCAGUGGAGACAAUGUGGCAAAGCAUUACAACAACCUACUAGUGCUUAUGCAACAAUUGGACGUUGAUGAACAAAACAUUACUGCUGAAGACUACAAGAAUGAUGUGGGAACCACACCUCUCGAGAGCCACUUCCAGCAGGUAAUAAAUAGAGAGAGCACCUCUUGACCAUGAUGGUGAAGAAAACAAUUAUCAUGCACCAACAUUCAUUGCGAGAUUGGCCAAGCACUUCCUCCCACAUGCAACUCUGUGGUCUGGUCUAAUGCUAGGCGAUAUUGGCCGUCAUGGUACAGGUUCAUCGUACCAGCAUUUCAGCAAGAUUUAUAAAGAAGUCAGUGAGUCCAAUAAACAGAACUUUACGCAGGACAAUCGAACACAGGGAAUUAAGGAGAAAAGUCAAUGGGACCUCAAAACAAUUAGGUUCCAGAGGAGGAGUCUCACACGAAUGGAUGACUUUGUGCAGAUAUAUGCAUGAUGCAUGAUGCACAGCUCCGUGAAUAUGAAGACACAGAAAGAUCAAGAAAGAAAUCCUUUCGAGUGGAAAUGGAACAGUGGAAAAAGAAAAGUCAGAAGCGUAAAGGAGUAUACGUUUCUCCACUAGUGAAGGGUCUGCCAUUCACAGAUGUGAGAAGCAAGGUGAAGUCUUCAAAGACCCCACCAGAAGUAAACGAGGAAAAACGAGAAGUUGUGAUUCAAAAUCAGGGUUUUUUGUCUCUGAAUAAAUUUAAUAUCUGAAUAAAAGACUAAUUGGUUAGAUGGCAGGUGAAUGGUAUAAUUAUGAUAGCAGUAUAGCCUUUUAAGACAUUGUCAGCAAGUUGCACAAAUAUUAUGUUAAAUACAUACAUUUUAAGUAUGCAUUUAACAGUAACGUGUCUUCUGAUCUAAUCUUCAUGUUUAAUGAUCUUGAAACAACUUUCACAGCUUGUUUAGAAAAACAAAUUUUGGUUCAAAUUGCAUGUUGUCCAGUGUAAAAUUGGUGGAAGGUAAGCAUAUUCGCUUUGUUCAUCAAUUCCACUAUUACACAUCACAGGCCGAGAGGAAAGGAUGUACUGAUCAAAUGUAUGUGGAGCC